UUUUCACUUUUUUCUAGUAGA
rnacentral:piRNA from 1 species